GCGGGCGUAGCUCAGUUGGCAGAGCGCUUCCCUUCCAAGGAAGAUGUCACCGGUUCGAGCCCGGUCGCCCGCU
rnacentral:tRNA from 1 species